rnacentral:tRNA from 2 species
GCCGGGGUGACGGAAUCUGGUCAACGUGUACGCCUGGAAAGCGUAUGGCCUUUACGGGCCUUAUGGGUUCAAAUCCCAUCCCCGGCG